rnacentral:rRNA from 1 species
GUCCUAGCCGUAAACGGUGUGAACUUGGUGUGGGAGGAAUUAUCCCCUUCCGUGCCGUAGCUAACGCGAUAAGUUCACCGCCUGGGGAGUACGGCCGCAAGGCUAAAACUCAAAGGAAUUGACGGGGCCCGCACAAGCGGUGGAGCAUGUGGCUUAAUUCGAUGCAACGCGAAGAACCUUACCUGGGCUUGACAUGUGACUGGAUGCUGGUCGAAAGAUCGGAGGCCUUCGAGGCUGUCACACAGGUGCUGCAUGGCUGUCGU